AGAGUUUGAUCAUGGCUCAGUGACGAACGCUGGCGGCGUGCUUAACACAUGCAAGUCAAUGGGGCCUUGAGCAAUCGGGGCAACCUGGCGAACGGGUGCGUAACACGUGAGCAACCUGCCGAAUGCGUGGGGGAUAGCCUGGCCCAACGGCCGGGUAAUACCGCAUACGUUCUCUCUGGGGAGUCCUGGGGAGAGGAAAGCUGUGGCGCAAGCCAUGGCGCGCGUCGAGGGGCUCGCGGCUUAUCAGCUAGUUGGUGUGGGUAACGGCCCACCAAGGCGACGACGAGUAGCUGGUCUGAGAGGAUGGCCAGCCACAUUGGGACUGAGAGACGGCCCAGACUCCUACGGGAGGCAGCAGUGGGGAAUCUUGCGCAAUGGCCGAAAGGCUGACGCAGCGACGCCGCGUGGGGGAUGACGCAUUUCGGUGUGUAAACCCCUGUUGCCCGGGACGAACACCUCCUUUUGGGGAGGCUGACGGUACCGGGUGAGGAAGCACCGGCUAACUCCGUGCCAGCAGCCGCGGUAAUACGGAGGGUGCGAGCGUUGUCCGGAAUCACUGGGCGUAAAGGGCGCGUAGGUGGCUACUUAAGCGUGUGGUGAAAGUCCGGGGCUCAACCCCGGAUCGGCCGUGCGAACUGAGUGGCUUGAGCACUGUAGAGGCAGGUGGAAUUCCGGGUGUAGCGGUGGAAUGCGUAGAGAUCCGGAA
rnacentral:rRNA from 1 species